AUUGAACGCUGGCGGCAUGCCUUACACAUGCAAGUCGAACGGUAACGGGCCUUCGGGUGCCGACGAGUGGCGAACGGGUGAGUAAUGUAUCGGAACGUACCUUUCAGUGGGGGAUAACGUAGCGAAAGUUACGCUAAUACCGCAUAUUCUGUGCGCAGGAAAGAAGGGGAUCGCAAGACCUUGCGCUGAUUGAGCGGCCGAUAUCAGAUUAGCUAGUUGGUGAGGUAAAGGCUCACCAAGGCGACGAUCUGUAGCGGGUCUGAGAGGAUGAUCGGCCACACUGGAACUGAGACACGGUCCAGACUCCUACGGGAGGCAGCAGUGGGGAAUUUUGGACAAUGGGGGGAACCCUGAGCCAGCCAUGCCGCGUGAGUGAAGAAGUCCUUCGGGUUGUAAAGCUCUUUCGGCCGGGAAGAAAUCGUAUCAGCUAAUACCUGGUGCGGAUGACGGUACCGGCAUAAGAAGCACCGGCUAACUACGUGCCAGCCGCCGCCGUAAUAC
rnacentral:rRNA from 1 species